UGUUUGGAUCGACGAGCUU
rnacentral:snRNA from 1 species